AGAUGAAUAAAGAAAGUUACUGUUCUUGUUGAAAUGAUAAUCACAUAAUAAAGUAUGCUUUAUUCAUGUUAAUAAGAAUUAACAAAAAACAGGACGCCAUGGGAUAUAUUUCAAAUGCUUAGCAGAAAUAUAAAUCCACAAACAAUGCCUGCCAUUGCCAUCACAUUGCCUUAGGACUUCACACCUCCUUCACUCUCCAUCACUUAUGUUUCCAUCAUUAUUUCUGUUUUGGUCAAUAAUUUUGACUGAAAAGAGGAAUGUUGAAGAAAUGAGAUGCAGUAAUGUCAGUCUCCUCUAGGGAACAACCCACCUCCUCUCCCUGGGUCAAAAGUUAUAUUUGUUGGGUUAGAGAAGGCUGGAAAUGAUGUUUACUUCAUGCAAACAUGAUAAUGGAAUUGGAAACUCACUAGUAAUUACUUUUGUUACUCAUUCAUGUUCAGAAGUUAUGAAGCCAGGCUCUUUGCAAGACCUUGCUCCUCAGUAGCAACAACAAUGUUUGUAUUUUAUUUCUGAACCAACUAUAUUGGAAUUCUAAAUUUUCCAACCUUCCCUUAAGCCAUAAGACAUGGGGAGAAAAACUACAAGAAUAUUUUCUUAACCAGUUCCAACAGCAUUUACCUAUGGGAUAUUAGCAUACAAAAUCACCAACAUAGAGCAGCUGGAUGUCAUCCAGCUACCAGUUUGGAAGCAAUGCCGAGAGCAAUUCACUUUUGUUAGUUCGGACAUGUGGAGUUGAUGGAUGAUGGCAGUACAAUUGAGCAGCUGGCCAUGUAGGAAACUGAAAUGAAGCUGGUCAAAAAACAGAAGAUCUGCCUUAAGAACACCCAGAAGCACAAUUUGCAACCCAGCUCUGGGUUUCUGGAAAACAGAAAGAGCAAAACAAAUUAAUUUUUGGAACAAUAAUCACAAAGAAGUCUGUGGGAGCCAAGUUACACACAGCUAAAUAUCAAACACAGGACAUUAUUAACUUAGAAAAGUGAUGUACGAUUUAUGCUUAACCAAGGAAACCUGACAAUAAUUCAACAGACUCCUCACACAGGUUCAAGGAUCCCAGGGACAGACAGGAAGAAAUGGAGCCGCAGAGGAGACCAGCAAGCAAUUCACAAUAGACUUUAUCUAGCUACAUUUCCUGUUUGCAAGAAAUAAUUUAUCUUCCUGAUGAGCAUUUCAUGCAAGCUUAUGUUUACAAGAAUAUUGGCAAAAAAUGGAUGAAAACUCUAAGUGAAGUGCUAUUUGAAGCUUAGCCAAAAGAGAAUUCACAGAACUCUAUCUUUCUUUAGUAGCCAGUAUUGAAGGACUCUGCAAUCUUCUAGGCUCAACGAAGUGCUUUUAAUCUAUUGUCGAGAAAAGUUAUUUCCUAUGUGUUAAAAAUCCUUCUGUACCCUCAGAAAUCCGAGGCAUCUGUUUGUGGAACAACCACAGCCAUUAAAGUCAGAAUUCUUUUCUGCCCUUUGGGAUAUUAGGCAACUCAUGAUAACUUGUAUCCUUUUUCUCAUUUGCAAUAUGAUUCAAUAAAAAGUUAAGUGAUGACAAAUGUUGGCAAGGGUGUGGAAAGAAGGGAAUCCUUUCCACUACUGGUGGGAAUGUAGAUUGCUGCAGCCAUCAUGGAAAAUGCAUGGAGAUUGCUAAAGAAAUUAAAAAUGGAACUACCAGGGGCAUGUAUAUAGCCUAGGAGCUAUAUAACUAUAAACUCCAGUAUUGCAAUGUCUAGAUUUGAUUCCCGGGUCUGGCUCCUGAUUCCAGCUUCCUUCCAAUGCAGAUCCUGUGAAGCAGUGAUGAUGGCUCAAGUAAUUGGGUUCCUGCAAUAUACCUAGGAAACCUGGAUUAUUGAGUUCCCAGUUCCAGUUUUAGCCUCAGCCCAACCCUGGUCACUGAAGGCUUUUGGAGAUUGAAUCACAGCUGGAAGCCGCACACCCCCCACUAAUCUAUUUUUUAUUUUAUCAUUAUAUUAUUUUAUUUUAUUAAACAUAUACAUCUCUCUCUCUCUAUAUAUAUAUAUACAUAUAUAUAUAUAUACAUAUUAUAUGACCUAGCAAUCCUUCUUUGUACAUGUUCAAAGGAAAUGAUCACCACAUUAUGAAGACAUCUGCACUCACCUUCUUUGUAACACAAUGAAUAACAAGCAAAGAUAAGGAAGCAGUGCAAGUUCUCUUUGGAAGAUGAAUGGAUAAUAAAAUUCUGCAGACAGUGGAAUCUUAUUUGGCUUCAAAAAAGGAGAUCCUGCUAUUUACCAUCACAUGGAUAAACAUGGAAGACAUCACUAGGCUACUAAGCAAAUAAGCCAGACACAGGAAGAAAACUAUUGCAUAAUGUCACUUAUAUGCACAAUCUUAAAAAAAGAAGGAAAUGACUUGAAUAGUUACUAUAUUGUAGCUUAAUUAAAAUAUUUUUAUAAAGAGAGAAAGGAGUUAGCUUUAGGAAGUAUUUAAAUUUCACACAAUAUUCUAAAUGUCAUGUAAAUAAUUUUGAUAUCUUUCUAAAAUAUAUAUUUUUCUUCUGAAAAAGAGAAAAAAUAUUGAGUGGAGUACAUGGUGAAGAAUAUAGAUUUAAUACUAGUGUAUAUUUUGUUUUUCUCUCUUCAUCUUGAGAAUCACAUAGGAUGGGGUUCACAUUCCAUCUGGAUCAUAGUAUUCUUGUUCUCAAUGGAAGUUCCUUAACAUUGAAUUUUGUAUUCCCUUUUGGAAGGGAAUAAUAUACUACCUAUAUCUCAUUGGUGGAAUAAUUUAUUGACAAAAUGUACAUGUACCUAGCAACAUUCCUGAUAGUGUGACCACUUAAGAUUUAUUCUUUAUAACCUCUAUUCAUAUGAAAUGCAAACUGUCCUUUGAUUUUGAGGACUAGUCACAAUUUUAACUUUUACUUAGAAAAUAUGACAAAGUAUGAGGUUCACAAUUAUUGGGUGUUCUCAAACUAAUGGAUAGACCAUGACAAAAUAGUACUAGUUCCAUAAGCAAUAUACUAAAACCAUGGCAAUAAUCCAAGACUGUACUUGAGAGAACAGUAAAACUGGCUUUGUGUCCUGUCUAUUGCCAAAAUAUUUAAAGUCAAUUCUAAUGUCAAAGUAGGAAAAUUUGGGCUUCAGUCCUAGCUUGGCCACUUCUGAGUUGUAUAAUCUGCAAUAAGGUACUGAUCUGCUCACAGCUUGUUUUCUAAUCUCUAAAUAGCAAUAGUGAUAAUAGACUUCACUUGGCUGUUUUUGUAAAAAGUAAGAUAAAGCACAUGAUUGAUAUAUAACAAACCAUAGGCAAUUAGUAAUGACUGUGCUUAACAAAACUAAGGAGCUAUAUGGGAUUGGCAAUGAUAUUGUCUUGGGUAGAUUAUAGUUUAUUUGAAUUUAAUCUGUCAGCAAAAGGCUAAUGGAUUGUACAAUCGAAACACUUAACAUUUUAGUUGUUCAGUCUUUGUUCUCUUCCAGCAAGUGGCUUCAGGUGUUCCAUCUCACCAAACCCUCUGCCUGGAGCAAUGUGGGCAGCCCUGACAGUGCCCUGGCUCACUACCAGCUUACCAGGAGGGGAACUGGCUUAAUUGCCUGAAUCCUGGCUUCACAAAGCAGCUUUCACACCUAAAGCUGGAGCAGCUCACAUCUGUGGCUGUCAGGCUUCUGCCUAGCCGAUGAAGAAAUCAGCUGUGCCCAGUCCCUCCUGGGAUGCCCAGGGGGUCUAAGCCUCAUACAUAAAGUCAAAACACACAAACUAAUUUCCAUAUAGAAUACAAAUAACAUAUUCAUUUAAUAAGAUAACUCCUGAAACUUGCUGCCUACAUUUCUUUAAGCUCCUGUGCAGGUAAUUACAAUUCUGCUUAGGAAAAAUCGAUGAAGUCAUUAGAUCAAAACCAAAUUCCUUUCAUUUUAUUUGCACAUGUGUCAUUUCUGUGCACAUUCACAGAGCUUUUCUUAAAUACACUCAGAACCGUUUUUCUUUUUUAUAUUGGGGUAAUUUAUGGUGUCACUGCAGGGUAUAUGCUGUGUGUGUGUGCGUACGCAUGUGCACACAAAUGCAGUAGAGAAAGACUGGAGAGAAGGAGGGAGGACUUAUUAGUGUGUAUAGAUACAACUGUAUUCUUCAUUUCUAGAUAUAAAAUGUUUAUUUUUAUCAUAAUGCCAUCAAAAGAAUCACGAGCAGCUGAUAAGAUGCAAGAAUUCACAGGACACUCUGGGGCAAAGUCUCAUGCUUGAUUUAACACCUGAGAGCACCAACAGGGUUCUAAUAAUGGCACCUUUGAUGGUGAAAUUUUAAUUACCAAGCUAUUGCUCAGUAUAGGAACUGCAUAAACAGGGGACAAUAUAUGUAUUCUUUGAUUUUGCAAACUUUCAUUACUACCAGUUAUUGUCAUUUUGUAGGGUUUUAGUUUAGCUAAGCUACAACUAUGUUUCCCCUGAAUUGCCCGCCUUGUAGGCUUCCUGGUUAUGGUUGUCCAUAGAAGUACUUCUACAAGAUACAGAACUUAACCAAAAUAGUGAGGAGGUUCUAGGCUCUCCGUGGUAUGGCAGAACCAUAAUGAAGUGAUCUCAUAAAACAGCAUAGGAUGAGAGUCAUGGAGACAGGAAUAAACACAAUUAGACAGGGAAAUUGGGAAAAAUUGAGUAAAUAAUGAAGCUAAGUUGAGUAAGAAAAAAGGAAAUGCUACUUUAAAUUCAGUGAAACCAAAUGCCUAAGUUUAUAAAUGAUAGAUACUUGAGGGGAAUUUGAUUGUAAAAUAAUAAUAAUAAUAUACAGUCAUUGUAUAAUUAGCAGUUGUUUGUCAUUUCUUUAGUUUUAAAAAUCAACCUCGGGAAGAAUUAAGAUUAGGAAGCACCAGGAGUUUAUUCCCCCAUCUAGUAAAUUGAAUAUGUCUAAUGUAACCAUUUUGGAAUCUGGAGUCUAGAAAGACUUGCAACUUCCAUAGAAAGACUUGAAUAAUAAUUUGGGGUUACUUCUUAUCAAAUGCAGCAUUUCACUUGAACAGCCAUUGUCUUGACUGUUGAGGAACACUUUAUUAUUUCACUUUAUAUAUUUUUUAUUCUUUUUUUUCUUAAUACCACUUGCUGAAUUCCUUACUUAACAUAGAAUUAAUUAUAGAUGUAUAAAGUCAAUUGAAAAUAGAUCCCAGUUAAAAUAAUAAGAGUGGGAAUGAGAAAGGGAGGAGAUGUACAGAUCAGUACACAUUCCCACAGACCUACCCCUAAGGAUGAAGCUAAAAAUCUGCCAUAGGUCUCCAAAUCCCAUUUACCUGGGUGAUACUAAUCCCAUUUUAUGUGAUAAAGUGAUCAUUUAAGCAUGGGAUUCAUCAUAUACAUAGGACCAUCAGUCAAAGGGAUCACAUAAAUAAGACCAAGUGCCUGGUAAUAACAAUAGAUAGAAUUACAAAGGAGAGAAAGUUCUAACAUGGGAAGCAGUCCACACAGCAGACUCAUAGAAUGACAAACAUCCUAAACAGCACUCUAACCUCAGAAUCAACCCCUAAGGCCUGACUGAAAACACCAUGAGAGCAUUUCAGGCAUGGAAAGCCAAGACAUAGUGGCAAAAAUGGUUCUACAUGAAGGAUCUCUGUGAGUGAGACCCCAGUGGAAAGAAGGAGCCAUCAAAGGAUGUACUUUCUUCUGAAGGGAGAAGAUAACUUCUACUUUGCAUACGGCCCUGUCUAAAAACUGACGUAGUUUGUAAACACAAAAGGCUUCCAUAGCCUUGGCGACUCAUGGAGCCUCUGGUUAUCACUGAUGUCAUAAAUAAGAUUGUCAACUGUUAAAUCAACAACAGGAAUCAUUGUGUACUUGCUCCCCGUGCUGGACCUCUGUCCUUAAUGAGUUGUACUAUGAGA